rnacentral:rRNA from 1 species
GUAGGUGGCAAGCGUUGUCCGGAAUUAUUGGGCGUAAAGCGCGCGCAGGCGGUCCUUUAAGUCUGAUGUGAAAGCCCACGGCUCAACCGUGGAGGGUCAUUGGAAACUGGGGGACUUGAGUACAGAAGAGGAAAGCGGAAUUCCAAGUGUAGCGGUGAAAUGCGUAGAGAUUUGGAGGAACACCAGUGGCGAAGGCGGCUUUCUGGUCUGUAACUGACGCUGUGGCGCGAAAGCGUGGGGAGCAAACAGGAUUAGAUACCCUGGUAGUCACGCCGUAAACGAUGAGUGCUAAGUGUUAGGGGGUUUCCCGCCCCCUUAGUGCUGCAGCUAACGCAUUAAGCACUCCGCCUGGGGAGUACGGCCGCAAGGCUG